UACGAAGGGGGCUAGCGUUGCUCGGAAUCACUGGGCGUAAAGGGUGCGUAGGCGGGUCUUUUAAGUCAGGGGUGAAAUCCUGGAGCUCAACUCCAGAACUGCCUUUGAUACUGAAGAUCUUGAGUUCGGGAGAGGUGAGUGGAACUGCGAGUGUAGAGGUGAAAUUCGUAGAUAUUCGCAAGAACACCAGUGGCGAAGGCGGCUCACUGGCCCGAUACUGACGCUGAGGCACGAAAGCGUGGGGAGCAGACGAGG
rnacentral:rRNA from 1 species